rnacentral:rRNA from 1 species
UACGUAGGGGGCAAGCGUUGUCCGGAAUCAUUGGGCGUAAAGCGCGUGUAGGCGGCCAGAAAAGUCCGCUGUGAAAACUCGAGGCUCAACUUCGAGCUGUCGGUGGAAACUUUCUGGCUAGAGUCCGGAAGAGGAGAAUGGAAUUCCUAGUGUAGCGGUGAAAUGCGCAGAUAUCAGGAAGAACACCCGUGGCGAAGGCGGUUCUCUGGGACGGUACUGACGCUGAGACGCGAAAGCGUGGGGAGCGAACAGG